rnacentral:rRNA from 1 species
UACGUAGGGGGCUAGCGUUGUUCGGAUUUAUUGGGCGUAAAGGGCGUGUAGGCGGCCAGGUAGGUCUGCUGUGAAAACUCGAGGCUUAACCUCGAGAUGUCGGCGGAAACCAUCUGGCUAGAGUCCGGAAGAGGAGAGUGGAAUUCCUGGUGUAGCGGUGAAAUGCGCAGAUAUCAGGAAGAACACCCGUGGCGAAGGCGGCUCUCUGGGACGGUACUGACGCUGAGACGCGAAAGCGUGGGGAGCGAACAGG